UAAAGAAACAACAUGGGCAGUGUCUGUGCUGCCUUCGAGGGAGGGCUCUGGGUAAUCCCUUCUCGCUCUGCCCCCAUCCUUCACCCCCCACCAUCCUGUCUGAGGCCCAGUUUUAGCCCCAGUGCUGCUUAAUUCCCAAUGGGGAGAUAUUUGCAGGGUGGGAUUUUAUUUCCAGCAGCUAAAUGAGCCUCUCGAAACUAUUCUACCAGCUUUUGCAGAGCAACGUGAGAGAAGGAGCAGUGGCGAUUCCUGCGAAUGCUUUCAGCCAAAAAACGGGAGGCUUGGGCUGUGAUUCAUGCUGUCAGCCACAGGAAAAGUCCCUGCCCCAGCAAAUAAGUCGGGGUUUGCCAUGGGAACGUCCCUGCUGGCGCUUGCCUGGUUCACCUGCCCGGGACAGGGGCCAUCACCACCAGCUCGGCGCUGUCAGGAGCCACCCAGCCGCAAGGCUUCGGCACGGUGCAGUGCCAGCAGUGUGUUUUCGGCACACGGAGCCGCGUCGUGAAGGCAACGGCUGUGGUGCUCAAGGGAAAAACAACAGCGCUUGAAGAAGGACGGGCUACAGGCCCAGCCAGAAAAAGGCCAGCCGUAAAGGCCGGGCUGCCCGGCAUGCUGGGCCUGGCAGGGCCGCAGCUCGCCUGUUUGCCUUCUGGGAGAAGUCCCCGCCGUGGCUGGCUUUGCCU
rnacentral:lncRNA from 1 species